UACGGAGGGAGCUAGCGUUGUUCGGAAUUACUGGGCGUAAAGGGCGCGUAGGCGGCCAUUCAAGUUAGGUGUGAAAGCCCUGGGCUCAACCUAGGAAUUGCACUUGAUACUGUUUGGCUUGAGUUCGGGAGAGGUGAGUGGAAUUCCCAGUGUAGAGGUGAAAUUCGUAGAUAUUGGGAAGAACACCAGUGGCGAAGGCGGCUCACUGGACCGACACUGACGCUGAGGCGCGAAAGCGUGGGGAGCAAACAGG
rnacentral:rRNA from 1 species